rnacentral:rRNA from 1 species
UACGGAGGGUGCGAGCGUUGUUCGGAAUCACUGGGCGUAAAGCGCGUGUAGGCGGCCCACUAAGUCUGAUGUGAAAGCCCGGGGCUCACCCCCCGGAAGUGCAUUGGAAACUGGUGGACUCGAGUCCCGGAGAGGAGAGUGGAAUUCCGUGGUGUGAGCGGUGAAAUGCGUAGAAUAUCUGGAGGAACACCGGUGGCGGAAGG